rnacentral:rRNA from 1 species
AUGACAAUGGGAGCCCUCGUGCUCACAAUCGGGAUGGAGGGCAGAGCAGGUUCCGUGCUCCUCCCAUCACCCAUCACGCUCUGGGGCGUCGACUCCAACGGGGUGAAGCACGACGCGUCCUUCAACACCUCCUUCACCAUGAACCUCUACAGAGCGGAGAGGCUAAAACAAGGCGACGGUCUUGCUUUCGUCAUCGUCCCCUCCCUGGACGGCCCUCCGCCCGGCAGCCAUGGUGGUUUCCUCGGUCUCACCAACAUCAUCUCAAACGUCGUCUCCGACGUAGUCGUCUCGCUGUCCUCGCUCCCGCAGCCCGACAACAUCACCCUGGCGCCGCUGAUGGAGACGGUGGAUUACACCGUGUGGAUCGACUACAACGGAUUCGGACACCACAUAUGGGUGUACGUGGCCGUCAAUGGUCUGCCCAAGCCUGACAAGGCCUACCUUGACGCGUCCCUCAACAUGAGCAGCCACGUCCCCCAGCGAGCAUACAUCGGUUUCACGGCGUCGACGGGGGAAGGCCACGAGCUCCAUAGUAUCCUGAGCUGGAACUUGACAGUCGAAAAGCUUUCGGAUGACCGAGCCGUCGGACAAUGGAAGGUUGUGCUGCCUGCAGUUCUUGGGUCUGUUGCCGCCACCGCAAUCAUGAUAUCUGUCGCGGCCUUCUACUUCAACCUGAGGUACAAGGCCCUGAAGAUGGAGCUGAAGCUGUCAGAUGCUCUUCGGCGGCUUCCGGGCACGCCCAAGGAGUUCAAGUACGCGACGAUCAGGAAGGCCACCAACAACUACGACGAGGCAAGGAAGCUAGGCAGAGGCGGGUUCGGCGCAGUGUACAGGGGAACGCUCCGUCUCCGGUCAGGCAAGACAUGCCAGCUGGUGGAGGUAGCGGUGAAGAAGUUCACACGUAAUCCAGACCAGUGCUACGACGACUUCCUCGCAGAGGUCGACGUGAUCAACCGCCUGCGCCACCGAAAUAUCGUGCCGCUCGUUGGUUGGUGUUACGAGAAAGGCGAGCUCCUGCUUAUCUACGAAUAUAUGCUCAAUGGCAGCGUGGACCAGCACCUCUUCGAGCAAAACGCUCCUCUCCAGCGCCGCAUCCUAGGAUGGAAUACCCGGUACAACAUCAUCAUGGAUAUAGCCGCAGGUCUUCACUACGUGCAUCACGAGCACGAACACAUGGUGCUCCACCGCGACAUCAAAGCAAGCAACAUCAUGCUCGACUCUUCCUUUCGUGGUCGCCUUGGUGACUUCGGCCUUGCCCGCAUUGUCACCUUGAAUAAGAACUCCUACACAGACGUGGGUGUCGCCGGCACCUGGGGCUUCAUCGCGCCAGAGUACUCAGUCUGCCACAAGGCCACUCGCAAGACUGAUGUAUACGCCUUUGGGGUGCUGGUCCUAGAGAUCGUCACCGGAGAACGGGCACUUGCUGCCAGCCAUGAUGAUGCGACGCUUCAACCGCUCACCGACUGGGUCUGGUGGGUUCACCAGGAGGGAAGGUUGCUCCAAGCGGUGGACGACAGAGUCAUUUCCACACAAGAGUUUGAUGCCGAUGGCGCCAUUCGCCUGCUACUUCUUGGGCUGGCUUGCAGCAACCCAAAUGCAUCUGACCGGCCAAGCAUGGCCGAGGUGGUGCAAGUCCUGGCCAAAUCGGUACCUCCGCCGGAGGUACCGCUUGUGAAACCUACAUUCAUGUGGCCGCCCGAGGGCGGGAUCCCCGUGGAAUUUGACAAUAUAACGGCAACGAGCAGCCUCGACUGGGAGGACACGUCCAGCGGUGAAGCCCUAGGGGCGAGUCUGCCAUCAGAGACCAACAUGCACAAGGCUCGGGUUGGACAUCCAAACAAAACCAGAUCAGCUGAGGAAUAUUAUGUGUAG